CCUUCCCCUGGAGGCAUUGCAGGCACAGCUGAUGUCUCACAUGUGUGUCCGUAGGUGGCAGAGACAAGAGAGGCCAUGUCUCCUUUUAGUGUUCUGACCUAUGAACAUCUGAAUGUUUAGUAGCCUACCAUU